CCUACGGGUGGCUGCAGUGAGGAAUAUUGGUCAAUGGGCGAGAGCCUGAACCAGCCAUGCCGCGUGCAGGAAGACGGUCCUAUGGAUUGUAAACUGCUUUUAUUUGGGAAUAAACUCUGGUACGUGUACCAGCCUGAAGGUACCAAAUGAAUAAGCACCGGCUAACUCCGUGCCAGCAGCCGCGGUAAUACGGAGGGUGCAAGCGUUAUCCGGAAUCAUUGGGUUUAAAGGGUCCGCAGGCGGUUAUAUAAGUCAGUGGUGAAAGCCUACAGCUC
rnacentral:rRNA from 1 species